rnacentral:rRNA from 1 species
CCUACGGGAGGCAGCAGUGGGGAAUAUUGGGCAAUGGGCGCAAGCCUGACCCAGCAACGCCGCGUGAAGGAAGAAGGCCCUCGGGUUGUAACCUUCUUUUAACAGGGACGAAGAAAGUGACGGUACCUGUUGAAUAAGACACGGCUAACUACGGGACAGCAGCCGCGGUAAUACGUAGGUGGCAAGCGUUAUCCGUAUUUACUGGGUGUAAAGGGAGUUUAGGCGGGAGAGCAAGUCAGACGUGAAAUUCCAGGGCUCAACCCUGGAACUGCGUUUGAAACAGUUCUUCUUGAGUGAUGGAGAGGCAGGCGGAAUUCCGUGUGUAGCGGUGAAAUGCGUAGAUCUACGGAGGAACACCAGUGGCGAAGGCGGCCUGCUAGACAUUAACUGACGCUGAGGCGCGAAAGCGUGGGGAGCAAACAGGAUUAGAUACCCGUGUAGUC